GCAGCUGAGACACCGGCCAUAGUAUGAUGAGAUUUCCUUUCCUGUACAGCUUUUCGUUUUACCCGGAGCUUUCCAGCACACCCGUGACACUCCUUUCACAGACAGCCAAACCCAGCAGGUUUUCCAGGAGCCCCUUGCUGGAGGCCGGCCUCUCCCCACCUCCCUGUCUCCUGUCUGCAGGAUCCCGUUUCCUGGGCCCUGUUUUUGUAUUUCUCACUUCACUCCCUUUUUUGUGUGGAAUGUAUCAUCUAGCAGCUUCCUCUGAAAGGGUUCAGAGGAUAACAUUUUGGGGACUUUAAUAAUGUGAAAAUUGGGGGCGAUAAAAAUUUAAAAAUAAAGAUCUGAAAAUAUCUUUAUUCUA